GCUUUACCAGAGUCGCUUGCGAUGAUCAUGGAGCCAUCGCCUAUGUAAACCUUUCUAGUCUCGAUUUGGGAGGAACUCUAGACGGCCUCGACUUCUCGUGCUUAACCAGUAUGGUCAGCUUUGACCUUUCCAACGACUUGAUUCAUGGCUCCAUUCCCUCGAGUAUCGGUAACCUUUCCAAACUCCACUUUGUUAAUCUUUGCUUCAAUAAACUGUCCGGGGACAUUCCUUCAAGUAUAGGUACGCUGGAGAGUCUUCAUUAUUUGUACCUAUGUACAAAUCAGCUUUCUGGGCUCAUUCCUCCUUCUCCUGGAAAAUUAGGGAAUUUAACCGUAUUAAGCAUUUCACGCAAUAACUUUUUCGGUCCCAUUCCGAGAGAGAUUAGUGACUUGAGGAAUUUGAAAUAUCUUUACUUAUGGCAAAAUGGACUUUCGGGACCCAUACCAUCAAAAAUCGGGAGGCUCACUUCUCUUGUCGAACUUAGUCUACAAAGAAACAAACUCACCGGCUCAAUUCCUCGUUCCAUCGGAAAUUUGAGAAGUUUAUCUUCUCUUCACCUCUUUUCAAAUGAACUUUCGGGAUCCAUACCUUCGGAAAUCGGGAGGCUAGCUUCUCUUAUUGAGCUUGAACUAUCAAAAAACGAACUCUCUGGCUCAAUUCCUCAUUCCAUCAGAAACUUGACAAGUUUAUCUCUUCUUCACCUCUUUUCAAAUGGACUUUCGGGAUCCAUACCUUCGGAAAUCGGGAGGCUAGCUUCUCUUGUCGAGCUUGAACUAUCAAAAAACAAACUCACCGGCUCAAUUCCUCGUUCCAUCGGAAACUUAACAAGUUUAUCUCUUCUUUACCUCUAUCAAAAUGGACUUUCGGGACCCAUACCUUCGAAAAUCGGGAGGCUAACUUCUCUUAUCAAACUUGACCUAUCAGAAAACAAGCUCUUCGGCUCAAUUCCUCGUUCCAUCGGAAACUUGACAAGUUUAUCUUCUCUUCACCUCUUUUCAAAUGGACUUUCGGGAUUCAUACCUUCGGAAAUCGGGAGGCUAGCUUCUCUUAUCACACUUGAUUUAUCAAAAAACAAAUUCACUGGCUCAAUUCCUCGUUCCAUCAGAAACUUGACAAGUUUAUCUCUUCUUCGCCUCGAACAAAAUGGACUUUCAGGACUGAUACCUUUAGAAAUCGGAAGCCUGGCCAAUCUAACUCUGCUGAACCUUGCCAACAAUAAAUUCUUUGGUUCCUUGCCUUCUGAAUUCAAUAAGUUAACACGGUUGACUACUUUGCAUCUAUAUAAUAAUGAACUAGAGGGGGAAUUGCCAGAAGACGUAUGCCUUGGGAGGAUCAUUGCAAUAUUUCACAGCCACUAAUAAUCAGUUCACAGGACCCACCCCAACAAGCUUAGAGAACUGUAGCACAUUAAUUAGAUUGAGGCUAGAUGGAAACCAACUUACUGGAAACAUAACAGAAGCUUUCGGGAUAUAUCCACAUCUAUAUUUUGUUGACUUGAGCCACAAUCAUUUGAAUGGCGAACUUUCGAGGAAAUGGGAGCAUUGUCGUAAUUUGACGAGCUUAAAGAUAUCAAACAACAAUAUUUCUGGUGAGAUACCCCCGAUAUUUGGAAGGAUGGCUCAGUUACAGCUACUAAAUCUUUCUUCAAAUAAUUUGAGCGGAGAGAUUCCAAGGGAGUUGGGAAGCCUAUCGAUGUUGUUAGAACUCAAUUUAAGUAGCAACUCGAUCAUGGGACAUGUCCCGACUGAGAUUGGACUUUUAUCCCAUCUAGCACAUCUAAACUUGGCAUCAAACAAUUUGAGUGGAUCGAUACUGGUGCCGUUAGGCUCAUGCAAAAGCUUGUUGAGCUUGAACUUGAGCACCAACAAAUUUCAAACAAGCAUUCCUCCUGAGAUAGGCAACGCACAGUUCCUUGAAGUUCUCGACUUGAGUCAUAAUUUGCUGACAAGAAACAUACCAGGAGACCUUGGAAACCUGAAAAUGCUGGAAGUUCUAAAUAUCUCCCACAACAACAUUUCUGGUUCUAUUCCACAUACUUUUGGUGAUAUGUCAGCCUUAACUUCUAUAGAUGUAUCCUACAAUGACCUGGAAGGUCCUCUCCCAAAUGUGAAGGCUUUCAAUGAGGCUCCAUUUGAGGUAGUUCAGCAUAAUAGUGGGCUAUGUGGAAGUGUCGUUGGUUUACCGAAAUGCAGUUCUAUCGAGAGCAAGAAACGCAAUCGACACGUUGGAGUUAGAAUCACAGUUAUCAUCAUUCUCUCGUUCUUGGGGUUUUUCCUUCUCUCUUGCACCUUGAUCGUUCUUGGAAUUGUCAAUCAUCGUCAAGGAAGGACUAUCGAGAGAGAAAAUGAUGAGCGGGCAAAUGAUUUGGAUUUUGUCUCUAUUUUGAGCUAUGAUGGCAAAGUUUUCUACGAUCGGAUCAUUGAGGCCACGGAAGGAUUUGACUCAAAGUACUAUGUGGGUGAAGGAGCAUAUGGGAUUGUAUAUAAAGCCGAGAUAUCAGAAGGUCAAAUGGUAGCCGUUAAGCAAAUAUCUUCAUCCGAGGAAGAUAGUGAGAUUGUUGAUAUGAUACAAUUUGAAAGGGAAAUUCAAGCCUUAACAAACUUACGCCAUCGCAACAUCGUGAAAUUUCAUGGAUUUUGCUCUCAUGUCCAACGUUUUUUUUUUUUUUGGUGUAUGAGUACAUGGAAAGAGGAAGCUUGAGGGCAACUUUGAACGAUGAUGAAAGAGCAAAAGAAUUUCAUUGGGACAAAAGGGUAAAUGUGAUCCGAGGAGUUGCGGAUGCAUUGUCCUAUAUGCAUCACGAAUGUUCACCUCCAUUGAUUCAUCGAGACUUGACCAGUAACAACAUUCUAUUGGACCGCGAUUAUGAGGCUCAUGUUUCCGAUUUUGGCACUGCAAGGCUAUUGAGGCCAGAUUCAUCAAACUGGACUGUUAUUGCUGGCACCAUCGGGUAUAUUGCUCCAGAGCUAGCUUACUCUACAGUUCCUACCAAAAAGUGCGACGUGUAUAGCUUCGGGGUUGUCGCAUUAGAGACAAUCAUGGGAAAGCAUCCUGGAGAUCAUGUCUCUUGGGAAUGUUCAUCGUCUGCCCAAACUGAAUCGCCGAUAAUGUUGAAGGAUGUGAUGGAUCAACGCCUCUCGGCUUCUAGAGUUGGUCUUCAAGAUGCGCAAGACGUGGUCUUGAUUGCCAAGCUAGCAUUCGAAUGCCUGCUACCUGAUCCACGGCUUCGACCGAGCAUGGGACAAGUCUCACGUGAGCUUCAUGCUCUAGUGUCGUUGGAAAUGCCACUCUCUUCAAUAAGCUUAGAGCAACUUCGCGAUUUUAGUGUUAGGAAAUUUGGAGCAUUCACAAGUGAUGAGCCAGCUUCUCUUUGAACGCCACAGGAAUGAUGCGAUGUUUAUUGCUCGGAGUCAUGGCACCACAAAUAGUAAUGGGAAAGCUUCUGGGGAGAUCUCAUUUCGCAAUGAUUUCAAAAUUUUUCCAGAGCAAUCAGAAAGUAAAUUUGCAAAAUGCAUCG